rnacentral:rRNA from 1 species
UACGUAGGGUGCGAGCGUUAAUCGGAAUUACUGGGCGUAAAGGGCUCGUAGGCGGCCAACUAAGUCAGACGUGAAAUCCCUAGGCUCAACCUAGGAACUGCGUCUGAUACUGGAUGGCUUGAAUCCGGGAGAGGGAUGCAGAAUUCCAGGUGUAGCGGUGAAAUGCGUAGAUAUCUGGAGGAAUACCGGUGGCGAAGGCGGCAUCCUGGACCGGCAUUGACGCUGAGGAGCGAAAGCCAGGGGAGCAAAGCGGG